rnacentral:tRNA from 1 species
GUUGCGCAGUGGUAGCGCGUCUGGUUUGGGACCAGAAGGUCGGGGGUUCGAAUCCCCCCUC